rnacentral:rRNA from 1 species
UACGUAGGGAGCAAGCGUUGUCCGGAAUUAUUGGGCGUAAAGAGCUCGUAGGCGGUUUGUUGCGUCGGCUGUGAAAUCCCGAGGCUCAACCUCGGGUCUGCAGUCGAUACGAGCAAACUAGAGUGUUGCAGGGGAGACUGGAAUUCCUGGUGUAGCGGUGAAAUGCGCAGAUAUCAGGAGGAACACCGGUGGCGAAGGCGGGUCUCUGGGCAACAACUGACGCUGAGGAGCGAAAGCGUGGGGAGCGAACGGG